GGUUGGAGUUUAAGGCUUUCAAGAAUUGUUCUUUGGUUUGGGUUGCCAAAG
rnacentral:ncRNA from 1 species